AGUGAACGCUGGCGGUAGGCCUAACACAUGCAAGUCGAACGGCAGCACAGGAGAGCUUGCUCUCUGGGUGGCGAGUGGCGGACGGGUGAGGAAUACAUCGGAAUCUACUUUUUCGUGGGGGAUAACGUAGGGAAACUUACGCUAAUACCGCAUACGACCUACGGGUGAAAGCAGGGGAUCUUCGGACCUUGCGCGAUUGAAUGAGCCGAUGUCGGAUUAGCUAGUUGGCGGGGUAAAGGCCCACCAAGGCGACGGUCCGUAGCUGGUCUGAGAGGAUGCUCAGCCACACUGGAACUGAGACACGGUCCAGACUCCUACGGGAGGCAGCAGUGGGGAAUAUUGGACAAUGGGCGCAAGCCUGAUCCAGCCAUACCGCGUGGGUGAAGAAGGCCUUCGGGUUGUAAAGCCCUUUUGUUGGGAAAGAAAUCCAUCUGGUUAAUACCCGGGUGGGAUGACGGUACCCAAAGAAUAAGCACCGGCUAACUUCGUGCCAGCCGCCGCCGUAA
rnacentral:rRNA from 1 species